rnacentral:rRNA from 1 species
AACGAACGCUGGCGGCAUGCCUAACACAUGCAAGUCGAACGAUCCCUUCGGGGAUAGUGGCGCACGGGUGCGUAACGCGUGGGAACCUGCCCUUAGGUUCGGAAUAACUCAGAGAAAUUUGAACUAAUACCGGAUAAUGUCUUCUGCCCAAAGAUUUAUCGCCUUUGGAUGGGCCCGCGUUGGAUUCGCUUGUUGGUGGGGUAAAGGCCUACCACGGCGAGGAUCCAUAGCUGGUCUGAGAGGAUGAUCAGCGACACUGCGACUAGGACACGGCCCGGACUCUUACGGGAGGCAGGAGUGGGGAAUAUUGGAAAAUGGGGGAAAGGCUGAUCCAGCAAUGCCGCUUGAGUGAUGGAGGCAUUAGGGUUGUAAAGCGCUUUUAACCGGGAUGGUAAUGACAGUACCGGGAGAAUAAGCCCCGGCUAACUCCGUG